rnacentral:rRNA from 1 species
AGAGUUUGAUCAUGGCUCAGGACGAACGCUGGCGGCGUGCCUAAUACAUGCAAGUCGAGCGGACAGAUGGGAGCUUGCUCCCUGAUGUUAGCGGCGGACGGGUGAGUAACACGUGGGUAACCUGCCUGUAAGACUGGGAUAACUCCGGGAAACCGGGGCUAAUACCGGAUGGUUGUUUGAACCGCAUGGUUCAGACAUAAAAGGUGGCUUCGGCUACCACUUACAGAUGCACCCGCGGCGCAUUACCUAGUUGGUGAGGUAACGGCUCACCAAGGCGACGAUGCGUAGCCGACCUGAGAGGGUGAUCGGCCACAUCGGGAGUGAGACAUGGCCCAGACUCCUACGGGAGGCAGCAGUAGGGAAUCUUCCGCAAUGGACGAAAGUCUGACGGAGCAACGCCGCGUGAGUGAUGAAGGUUUUCGGAUCGUAAAGCUCUGUUGUUAGGGAAGAACAAGUGCCGUUCAAAUAGGGCGGCACCUUGACGGUACCUAACCAGAAAGCCACGGCUAACUACGUGCCAGCAGCCGCGGUAAUACGUAGGUGGCAAGCGUUGUCCGGAAUUAUUGGGCGUAAAGGGCUCGCAGGCGGUUUCUUAAGUCUGAUGUGAAAGCCCCCGGCUCAACCGGGGAGGGUCAUUGGAAACUGGGGAACUUGAGUGCAGAAGAGGAGAGUGGAAUUCCACGUGUAGCGGAGAAAUGCGUAGAGAUGUGGAGGAACACCAGUGGCGAAGGCGACUCUCUGGUCUGUAACUGACGCUGAGGAGCGAAAGCGUGGGGAGCGAACAGGAUUAGAUACCCUGGUAGUCCACGCCGUAAACGAUGAGUGCUAAGUGUUAGGGGGUUUCCGCCCCUUAGUGCUGCAGCUAACGCAUUAAGCACUCCGCCUGGGGAGUACGGUCGCAAGACUGAAACUCAAAGGAAUUGACGGGGGCCCGCACAAGCGGUGGAGCAUGUGGUUUAAUUCGAAGCAACGCGAAGAACCUUACCAGGUCUUGACAUCCUCUGACAAACCUAGAGAUAGGACGUCCCCUUCGGGGGCAGAGUGACAGGUGGUGCAUGGUUGUCGUCAGCUCGUGUCGUGAGAUGUUGGGUUAAGUCCCGCAACGAGCGCAACCCUUGAUCUUAGUUGCCAGCAUUCAGUUGGGCACUCUAAGGUGACUGCCGGUGACAAACCGGAGGAAGGUGGGGAUGACGUCAAAUCAUCAUGCCCCUUAUGACCUGGGCUACACACGUGCUACAAUGGGCAGAACAAAGGGCAGCGAAACCGCGAGGUUAAGCCAAUCCCACAAAUCUGUUCUCAGUUCGGAUCGCAGUCUGCAACUCGACUGCGUGAAGCUGGAAUCGCUAGUAAUCGCGGAUCAGCAUGCCGCGGUGAAUACGUUCCCGGGCCUUGUACACACCGCCCGUCACACCACGAGAGUUUGUAACACCCGAAGUCGGUGAGGUAACCUUUAUGGAGCCAGCCGCCGCAAGCUAGGACCAGC